rnacentral:lncRNA from 1 species
ACUGCUCGCGAGCUGCCCCUCGCACUAAGCUGGAAACAGUAAGGAGAAGCCGCUUUCUUCGAGAAGGCCCCAUUGCCGCAGCUGUGGUCAGUGUUUCUAUCCAUUACUCAUUUUGGAGUAAAUUACAUGCAUAUAAAAGUUUGAAACUCUAUUAGUUAAUGAAAACUUUAGCAAUCAGAAAAAAAAUUGAGAAAGAAAGUACUUUUAUAUUAAAUUGAAUUAAUUCAGAAAGAGUUUUGUUCUUCAUAUUUGAUUAUUCUCAUAAAAAAUAAAUUUUGAUUAAAUCUUAUGUCUAACUUUUUACAUUAUUGAACUCUCCAUUUUUCUAGGGAAAGUAUGCUAAAGUUGAUGGCUGAGGAGAAGUAGAGAAGAGGGGAGUAUUGGUUUGGAAUAUGUUGCAGGGGGAGGGGGGGAAUGGGAUUCGAAAGGAAUCAAACAAAGAUGAUGUUGGUGUUGAUGUUGAACUUGCUGUGUGCUUCCAUGAACAAGUGUGGAAGGAUGGGGAUUGACUUGCAGCACAGUCAAGCAAGAGCCCAUGAUAUUAUCAUUUCUCAGGAAAUGGAGAAGGAAAAGUGGAAAUAUCCUCUCAUGCUUGUGCAAACCACUUUCAAUCUGUUCACAUUUCUGUAGUUGCAGAAUGAACAGAUGUGCAAACAAAGGGUGAAGUGAAAUG